rnacentral:miRNA from 1 species
AGUCCUGAAGCUGCCAGAAUGUUCUGCUCAGGAGAGGAGGCUCACUGAAUUGUCUAGGCUGUCCAUUCCCCAAUGCAUCUAACCUUCUCUUGACACAGUCCAAAUGCCAUCUGCU